rnacentral:tRNA from 1 species
GUAUAAAAAGCGAAAACUUUGCAUACGGUUUCGGCCCGUAAGUUGUGGGUAAAAAUCCUUCUUUAUACU